rnacentral:lncRNA from 1 species
GUGGUAGAAAAAUGAAGGACUUUUUUAUUAAGAAGUGUUUUAAGUUUUGAUAUUGUGAUUUUGAAGGUUUUUUCAACACCCAAAUUGAAAAUAUUUUUCUUAAUUACAUAUGUUUUUUGAUUUUUAUCUGUGAGUUAGAAUUGUUGAAAAUCAGUGUUGUGCUAGCUGUUAUUGUUUAUGUUUAAGUCUUAUGAUGCAUAUUUUUUGGCUUGGUUUUGUGCCUUCAAACUUCUAAUAUGGCAUUGGGUUAAAUUAUCCGUUGUAAAAUGAUGUAAAAAUUUAGAAUUGAAUCUAAAUCAAUAACAAACUAAAAAUGUGAGUUA